UACGUAGGGUGCAAGCGUUAAUCGGAAUUACUGGGCGUAAAGCGUGCGCAGGUGGUUUUGUAAGUUUGUCGUGAAAGCCCCGGGCUCAACCUGGGAAUGGCGAUGAAGACUGCAAGGCUUGAAUCUGGCAGAGGGGGGUAGAAUUCCACGUGUAGCAGUGAAAUGCGUAGAGAUGUGGAGGAACACCGAUGGCGAAGGCAGCCCCCUGGGUCAAGAUUGACGCUCAUGUACGAAAGCGUGGGGAGCAAACAGG
rnacentral:rRNA from 1 species